rnacentral:rRNA from 1 species
CACCGCCCGUCACACCAUGGAAGCCACGCUGUACCGGAAGUCGGUGCGCCAACCCGCAAGGGAGGUAGCCGCCCAUGGUAUGACUGGUGACUGGGGUG